UACGGAGGGUGCAAGCGUUAAUCGGAAUUACUGGGCGUAAAGCGCACGCAGGUGGCUGAGUCAGUCGAUUGUGAAAGCCCUGGGCUUAACCUGGGAAUUGCAGUCGAUACUACUCAGCUAGAGUAUGGGAGAGGGCAGUGGAAUUCCCGGUGUAGCGGUGAAAUGCGUAGAUAUCGGGAGGAACAUCAGUGGCGAAGGCGACUUACUGGACUGUAACUGACGCUGAGGCAUGAAAGCGUGGGGAGCAAACAGG
rnacentral:rRNA from 1 species